UACGUAGGGGGCGAGCGUUGUCCGGAAUGACUGGGCGUAAAGGGUACGUAGGCGGUUACACAAGUUAAAAGUGAAAUCCCCGGGCUUAACUCGGGUGCUGCUUUUAAGACUGUGUGACUUGAGUGCAGUAGAGAAAAGUGGAAUUCCUAGUGUAGCGGUGGAAUGCGUAGAUAUUAGGAGGAACACCAGAGGCGAAGGCGGCUUUUUGGACUGUAACUGACGCUGAGGUACGAAAGUGUGGGGAGCAAAC
rnacentral:rRNA from 1 species